AUGGGCGAGCGCAAGGUGCUGAACAAGCACUACCCGAACGACUUCGACCCGGCGAAGAUCCCGCGGCGGCGGCAGCCCAAUAACCAGCAGAUCAAGGUGCGCAUGAUGCUCCCGAUGAGCAUCCGCUGCGGCGCCUGCGGGACGUACAUCUCCAAGGGCACCAAGUUCAACUCACGCAAAGAGGACGCCGCCAGCGAGGCCUACCUGGGCAUACGAAUACACAGGUUCUACAUCAAGUGCACACGCUGCUCCGCCGAGAUCGCCUUCAAGACGGACCCCCAGAACUCGGACUACACGGUGGAGUCAGGAGCCAGCCGCAACUUCGAGCCAUGGCGCGAGGCUGAGGCUAUGGUGGACAGGGAGAAGAGGAAACGAGCGGCGGAGGAGAUGGGCGAUGAGAUGAGAGCGCUGGAGAACAGAGCCAUGGAUUCCAAGCGGGGUAUGGACGCACUCACCGCUUUAGAGGAGACGCUGUCGAUGAGGUCUAUACAUGCCCGCGUCUCCGCUGACCGGAUGCUUGAGAUUCUGAACCAUUCUUCUUGUAUUGCUCAUCAUCAAAAUUUAAAGGAGGGAAACACAGUACUAGCAGAGGAAGACGAAGAACUCGUCAGAUCAAUCACUUUCCGAAACUCGGAAUAUUACGUUAAACGGAUCGAAGACGACGAUGACAACGAGGAAGAUUUUGGGUCAGAGAUCAUCAACGAGUCUUCUGAAUCAAUGUUAGAUCAUCCAACAGAUGUCUUGGCCAAAGCUAAUGAUCCUGAGAGUUCCAAUAAAGAAGAAGGAAAGAAGAGCUUGAAAUCUAAGAUGCUCAAGUUCAUUGUAAAGGCAAAGCCCGCUGCUGCAAAUCCUCACAAGAAACACAAGAGUACUGAAGCUGCAGCUGUACAAGAUAGCGUUAAGGACAACAAUGAAGCUUCAGAAGAAAAGGCCAAUGUUCUUCAUUCACUCUUCCAGUAUGACAGCGAUGAAAGUGAUGACUGA
rnacentral:rRNA from 1 species